rnacentral:rRNA from 1 species
UACCAGCACCCCGAGUGGUCGGGACGAUUAUUGGGCCUAAAGCAUCCGUAGCCGGUUCUACAAGUCUUCCGUUAAAUCCACCUGCUCAACAGUUGGGCUGCGGAGGAUACUAUAGAGCUAGGAGGCGGGAGAGGCAAGCGGUACUUAGUGGGUAGGGGUAAAAUCCGUUGACCCAUUGAAGACCACCAGUGGCGAAGGCGGCUUGCCAGAAUGCGCUCGACGGUGAGGGAUGAAAGCUGGGGGAGCAAACCGG